rnacentral:rRNA from 1 species
AACGAACGCUGGCGGCAGGCUUAACACAUGCAAGUCGAGCGCCCCGCAAGGGGAGCGGCAGACGGGUGAGUAACGCGUGGGAAUCUACCCAUCUCUACGGAAUAACGCAUGGAAACGUGUGCUAAUACCGUAUACGUCCUUCGGGAGAAAGAUUUAUCGGAGAUGGAUGAGCCCGCGUUGGAUUAGCUAGUUGGUGGGGUAAAGGCCUACCAAGGCGACGAUCCAUAGCUGGUCUGAGAGGAUGAUCAGCCACACUGGGACUGAGAAACGGCCCAGACUUCUACGGGAGGCAGCAGUGGGGAAUAUUGGACAAUGGGCGCAAGCCUGAUCCAGCCAUGCCGCGUGAGUGAUGAAGACCCUAGGGUUGUAAAGCUCUUUCACCGGUGAAGAUAAUGACGGUAACCGGAGAAGAAGCCCCGGCUAACUUCGUGCCAGCAGCCGCCGUAAGAC